UGGGGGUGCUCUUACAUUGUUACAGUUGUGGGCUUGGGAGAGAAUCCCAAUUAUUAGGCCGACAAUGCUAAAUCUCGUGCCUAUAGACUACCUACCAUGUGCAAUCGCAUGGACUGGUCCGGCCUCUUAUGUAAAAGCACCCGGGCAUUGCAUUGAAACUUUCAGAGAGCAGUUCUCUAGAAUGCAUGCCGACCAAUUUAUUUGGAGGCCGUAUGUCCACCGAAACCUGCCGGAUGUUUGUGUUGUCGGUCGUCCUAUAUGGACGUCGAG